rnacentral:rRNA from 1 species
UACGAAGGGUGCAAGCGUUACUCGGAAUUACUGGGCGUAAAGGGCGCGUAGGCGGCACUGUUAGUCAGGCGUGAAAGUCCUGGGCUCAACCUGGGAACUGCGCUUGAUACGGCAGAGCUAGAGGAUGGAAGAGGCUCGCGGAAUUCCCAGUGUAGAGGUGAAAUUCGUAGAUAUUGGGAAGAACACCGGUGGCGAAGGCGGCGGGCUGGUCCAUUACUGACGCUGAGGCGCGACAGCGUGGGGAGCAAACAGG